UGGCUGGUGUGUUUACUUACUGCUGUAGCCAGCCAAGACAAAUAUACCCCAGCCCUCAAAAAUGACUUCUUACCUCAGUCUAGCCUGGCCCUCAUGCUGUGGUUGCCUCUCAGAGCAGGUACCAUCACUAGUACCAAGACAGCAGGGACACCUUGGCACCCAGAACCGCAGCUCUCACCCCAGGGCAGGAGAGCUUUUAGAUGUUGCUUGGAGCGUCAAGAAUAAAACUGGAAACUGUGGAAGAGUUACUGUGUCCUAUGGACUCAAUAGCAGAGUUUAUUUUUGUUCACAGUGGCAAGGUCCAUGAUUGUAUGAGGUCCCUGCUCUGGCUAUGCCUUCAGCUCCAUCCACAUUCAGGGGAAGAACCAAUGAGGUGGACUGGCCAGCAGUGCCCCGAGUAAGCCGAGUCGAUGGUACAGAACAAAAAUUGAGGGGAGGGGGGAUCUGAAAUUUGUUUUACUGAAAAAGCUUUGUGAACUAAUUUUCUACAAUUGAUAAAAUUUGGUGCCUUGUA
rnacentral:lncRNA from 1 species